GCACGCGGCGGCGAGAGUGAGGGGGCGCUGGGCCGUGGGUCCCCAGAGGGCGCCCAGGCCCGGGAGGCGGCGGCCCCGGCACCUGCCUUCCCGCCCACGCGCGGGCGGCCCGGGCCGUCGGGGCCUGGCUUUGAGCGGAGACCCGGCGGCGCAGGGCGCGGAGGGGCCGCAGCCCGCCCGGUGCGCUGAAACCCGAGCCGCGGGAUCGAUCUGCCCGCAGGUCUUCUCGGCCACGUUGGGGAUGAACUGCUUGUAGGCUAAAGGGGUCAGCUUUUUGGGGUGCCGCCUCUUCCCAAACCCCCUGCCCGGUCCGCACGCCAGCCCGGAGCACAUCAGCAGCGAGGAGACCAGCAGCACCAGCAGACAUCUCGCCAGCAGCAGCAUCUCGUCCAUGGAACCCAGUGACUUCCAAGCCGUCCCCGUGCAGGAAGGACCAUCAUCAUGGAGCCGACAAACAGUUCUUGAUGUUGAGCAGGGAGACAGCGGGCUCGUCAGGGGCAGCUUCUCACGGAAGUGCAGUUGCAGCUCAUCUUCGACUGGCACCUCUCGGAAACCUCCACCCGCCAUCCACGAGGAACCGAAGCCCCGGGCACCUGUUUACCGAGCAGAGGGCGUGGGCCCUUCUUAUCUAGUCACCUGUCAGAGGCCCCCGCGGCCGCUUGAUGCCAGCAGCAUUGAUCUUAUUACUCAUACUUUAUACAUGAGAAUGCUAUUCUUAAAGAAGGCAAACAUUUGCUUUGCUGAGCCAUUGUCUCGCCCCGCAUAAACCUCUCACUCUUGAUGUAUGUCCAUCGAUUGCGGUUCUCGCCACUGUUUCACACAAGAGGCCUGCGGGUGAUGACUUGCAGGGUUACCUGUGACGGGCCCUAAACCCAUUUACAAUUAAGGAAAAGUUAAAUGCAAACUUCAGCUUGAAAAUGACUUAGAUUUUGCGUGAUGCCAAUGUGGAGGGCGCAGCCCGCCCUCCCACAUGGUUCCCGGGGGCGGCCCACCGCACUGGCUGGAAGGCUCUGGGUCUCUAGGGUCUGGGCUUGGAUGGCUUGGUCUUAUCCAUCAUCUGAACAGGGUCCCACCUCAGGGCUCACAGACGGUCCCUCCUGAGCUCCAGGGACAGGGUUCCCACCAGCAAUGGAGCCCAUCGUCACUGCUCACCGCCCCUCCCCAGCCCUGCCCCCAGGACCAGAUGUCCUCAUGUCCUGACCACCGCACUCGGACCUGUUCCCCGGACCUGGCUCCCGAGACCCCUGCACACUCUUCCCCAGCCGCCCGGCACGGUUCACCCUGUGCAGAGCCUGGGGCGGGCCUGGGAAAAGGGUUCACUCGGGGGUGGUCUGAGGAAUCAGGGGAGAGGAGGAGGAUGAGAGACCGGGCAAGGGAGAGCAGGUGUCACUGGGGUUCGACGGUAGCCACAGGCUCCUCUUGAGGACAGACAGGACUCCCAGUCACCCUCACCCGGGGGCACAUGCCCACAGCUGCCUCCCUGUGUGCUGGGAACGCCCCUCACUGGCCGUGUGAAGUGGGGGACACCCAGACUGCAGGGGAGGCCGAGAGGCCAGAUCUGCCCCCUGCUCUCCCGUCCGCAGCGUCUCUGGAGCUGCCGGCCGGCUCUGCCCAGCUCUGCUCCCACAGGCCCGCCUCACCCCCAGGCGCAUGCAAGUGCACUCACUGCAGCCCCGGCCCGGGGUGCUCGUAGGAGAUGGUGAUGAUUUUUACAAGUUGGCAGUCCUUGUGGGCUUCUCCCUCCUGCUGAAGGGACAGUGAUGACAACAAAGGAACGAACCCACACCUGAUGGAUCCCAAGGGGGUGACAGCACGGAAGAUGUUUCCACAAAUCCUGCAAGAUGAAGGUGGCCAGAGCCACCCUGCGGGGUGCUGGCGUGCGGCCACCUCCGUCCCCAGUGGAGCGGGUCUGAGUGGCCAGGCAGACUUCUGAGCUGAGGCUGGAGACAGAUAGCUACCGUGUCUGUGUGUCCAGGGCUCUCAGGACUCUGCCCCUCGCCUGUCCCCACCCCCACCCAGCACUAUCCCAGCUCCCGCCAGCAGCGGGAACAGGCAUCUGUAAUGACAUGGCUGCUGGCGGAAAUUCGGAAGAAUGCCUUUUUCAUGUGGGAGAGUCACCCACUGCCAGGGGAUCCUGGCGGGGGACCCAUGAAUAAGUCAAUGGGACCAGACCACUUGUCUGAAGGAACAAUCUCCAUGCAGCCAUAAUCAUGGAAAUGCACUCAAUGUUUUAAAAACAUUUAUUUAUCUUAUUGAAUG